UGAAAAAGCUCUCAGAGCUGCAAAUCAGCCACUGUGGGGACUUGAAGCUUGCUAUAGGGCCUAGAGGAAGGUGACUCAUUCUGGACAGAGUGAUGUAGAAAAGCUUCCCGGAGGAGAUGGUAUUUGCCAUGGGCCUUAUAGGCAGAAUAGGAGAGGAUGGGUGGAAAGAGGACCCACAUCUCAGGAGUGGUGCGAACCAGGGUAAAGCAAAAAUCAUGUGCGUGGGCCAAGUUGUGAGAGGUGACUUUGGAGAAGGCUGCAUAUGUUGAUGGUGAUUAUCUCUGGGUGCUAGAGUUUCUCGGGUAAUGUUUACUUUUCUCUUUAUCCUGUUCUAUGUUGGUUGAAGUAUUUAUAGCAAACACAUGUUAUUUAUAUAAUGGAUAAAAUGUUCUUUGCGAAAAGAAAAAAAGAAAAGCUAUUUGUGUUCUGAUACCUAAAAAAUUAAAACCUAGGGGAAAGUAGCAGAACCGUUCAAAGAACCCCCCCCCCCAUACCCCCUCACCCAGGUUCACUUAUUUUGAACAUCAG
rnacentral:lncRNA from 1 species